rnacentral:lncRNA from 1 species
GCUUGCAGUGAGCCGAGAUUGCGUCACCGCACUCCAGCCUGGGCGACAGAGCGAGACUCCGUCUCAAAAAAAAUGACUGGACAAAAAACACUCUGAUGCAAACAGGCAAGAAACCCAGCAAGGCCUAUCUGGAUUCUCCUUGGCCUGUCUGCAGCAUUCAUUCCUUCUGGGUAUGGAACAGGACCCUCUGGAAUGGGGGCUGUGGCCUACAACAGUUAAACAAGUGAACUAAAGGGCUCCCAAAAUCUCUCCUGCAGCAUUUUCCUUGAGAAGGAGGAAGGUUUGCAUCUCUAAAUCUCUCUCUGGGAACAGUGUGGAAGAUGGAUUGAAAUGGUGUAAAAUUGAAGAUGUGGACUCCGGUUGGGAGACUACACCCUAGAUAAGAUGAAGAGAACUUGAAGCAAGACAAUAGCAAUGGGAAUAUAAAGGAGAGGAGACAUUUGAGUGAAAUUAAGGAAGCACAAUCUGCAGACUGUUUUCUUUUUUUUAAGAGUCAGGGUCUCCCUAUUUUGCCCAGGCUGGUCUCAAAGUCCUAGGCUCAAGCGACCCACCCACCUCAGCCUUCCAAAAUGCUGGAAUUACAGGGGUGAACUGCCUCACCAUGCCUCAGUCUGCAGAAUUUGAUGACUGAAUGUAUUUGGAGAGAGUCUGUGGCUUGGAUGACUGGGAGCUGUGAUUGGUUGAUUGAUUUUGAGGCGGAGUUUCACUCUUGUUGCCCAGGCUGAAGUGCAGUGGCACAACCUCUGCUCACUGCAACCGCUGCC